CCUACGGGUGGCAGCAGUGGGGAAUUUUGGACAAUGGGGGCAACCCUGAUCCAGCCAUUCCGCGUGAGUGAAGAAGGCCUUCGGGUUGUAAAGCUCUUUCGCAAGGGAAGAAAACUUACUCAAUAACACUGGGUGAGGCUGACGGUACCUUGAUAAGAAGCACCGGCUAACUACGUGCCAGCAGCCGCGGUAAUACGUAGGGUGGUACCGUUAAUCGGGAUUGCGGGGGGUAAAGCGUGCGCCAGAUGUGAAAUCCCCGGGCUCAACCUGGGAACUGCGUUUGAAACUACAAGGCUAGAGUAUGGCAGAGGGGGGUAGAAUUCCACGUGUAGCAGUGAAAUGCGUAGAGAUGUGGAGGAAUACCAAUGGCGAAGGCAGCCCCCUGGGUCAAUACUGACGCUCAUGCACGAAAGCGUGGGGAGCAAACAGGAUUAGAUACCCGAGUAGUC
rnacentral:rRNA from 1 species